GGAUCUGACAUUUAGCUUCUUCAAAGUAAUAAAUGCAUCUAAAAAUGCAACAAAGUUCAAUAUUUCAUUUACAGCAAUAGAAUUGGAGCCACGAACCCAGAUGUGUCCAGUCCAGGAAUUGGUAUGGUGAGUAUCUUUUCAUUAACAGUCUUAUAAAAAUAAAAAUAAAAAGCCUUAAAGCAAAAGUAAUAAGAUUGACUGAAAGAUGUUGUUCAUUGUGUUUUCAGAGUUGUUCUGCCCCACGAGAGAUGUAUUCUCUGAUCACUUCUGCACUAGCCACAUCUCAACCCAUAUAUGAAGAUUUGGAGCACUCAGAGUCACAUCAGCACAACAGAGCAGACCCUUCACACACUUUUAUUACUUCUGCAAACCCAAUCUACCAGCCCUCAGAUGCCGUGGCCAACAAAAAACAGCAUCAAAAAAAUGCAGAGGAAAAUGAGGAUGUUUACCACAUGUACUGCACCAUCCCAGAUAGACCAGUUUAGUCCAGCACUGGAGAAUACAGUUUGAUCCAGAUGCACUGAAGACUUUCAUUUUACUUGUUUCAAUUGACAAUUGUACUCUCCCAUUCACUGCGCUCUAGGUUUAUCCAACUAUGAUAACUUCUGCUUCUGAGAAACCUGGAAAUGUGAAAAAGGUUCAUAUAGUGUCAUAAAAAGCUGAAGUGAAUAUUAAUAACUAUUAUUUGGACUGGUGAUUUUUUCUUUUUAAUUGUGUUUUGUCUUGAUUCUGUAUGCACUGAAAAGCUGCAUUAUGGUUUUAAUUUAUUGUGUACUAUUUGUUUAAUUAUUAUUUGUUUAAUUAUUCGGGAAAAGGCAAAUUGUACUACAUUGUACAAAAUUCAUAUGAAUUCGCCACUAAAUCGAAAAGUUACGAAUUGCCCUGGGUAUGUGUUGGAAAAACUAUAAGCUUCAGUAUUUCUAGAGUGUUUCAUUAAAUUAUUGUUUUUAUUGCAUGAAGUCAAACUAACUACCAUUAUAAGAGAAUCUGAUCUUUUUAAAGUUAUAUUUAAACAUUUUCAUUUUUCUUUUACUUAGGUGAAUUUUUAUUUAAGACUACUUUUCACUUAUUUAAAGUCCCUCAAUAAAGCAAAGAGUUUCCUGUGUUCCGACACUCUCUUUACUUUCUAAUUCACACUUUGAGUCUCAUUCAGUCUGUUUUCUCACACUCGCUGUGAUGGAGUUGUUCGUCUUUGUUGUUUUUUGGCUCCUGGUGGAGGUUCAGUCAAACAGUAGGUGAUUUACGUUCAUGUGCUUAAUGAAAACCUUUUUGCAGUCUAAAAUAUGUGUGAUAUCUGUACAAGAGGAGUUUUAAUAUGAACAUACCUGACAUUUUAAUAGAGGAUUAAUAUGUACAUGUGAGAACAGCUGUCUUUUUAAAUAAAAAAAGAAAAUACAUGACUGAUUUUGGAAUAUUAGUAUACUUUUAAAUAUUAUUAUUAUUGUACUAGCAAAAAACAUUACAUGGGAUUCUUCUGCUGCCACAGUGACUGCAGUGAUUAUUAACUAUGUAUUGUUUGACUUCCACCAGACACACUUCAGAAACCCUUCAUCAGUGUUAGUGAAGAUAAGGAUCUGCUCAUCAUAUCAUGUGAAAUACCAGCUUCAGUCAGAGCUGAUGUGUCCUGUAAUCUCUACACUGGAGAUGAUGCUCUUCUGGACAGCCUUGACUCUCAGAGGAGUUCAUUUGGAGAGUAAUAUCUUUGUAUGUUUUAUCAAACUCUUAGUGAACUCUUGAGAAGAUCAGGACACAUCAGACAAGUGAGCUGUGAUUAUUCACUCAAGACUAAACCUGACAUCAGAUCUCCACACAGUGACACAUACUGUACACACUCAGAGGUAUGAUUAAUUUACCAUGGUAUAUAAUUUUCACAUAUGGGAGUUGUAGAAACCAUAAUUUUCUACAAAAUGCAGGCUACAAUGCAGGCUAGUAAUAUAUAAAUAUAUAAUAUUUGUAUAUCCAUUAAAUCAAAAACAACCUAUAAACAAAAGAAAAGUCAAUAACCCACAAACAAACAAAUAAAUAUGUCAAUGUCUGAAAAGUGAUGUGCUAUUUUAGUUAUCUGGUG
ensembl:lincRNA